rnacentral:snoRNA from 1 species
ACGCACCAGAUACGAGCCUGGAGGUCCACUCUGUCCCAGAUGUGCUGCACACUGGGACAUUCAUUGGCUGCAUGGCUUCAAACGGUGCGAGAGCAGAGCAGCCCUGAGAUUUAAGCUUUUCAGCGGAAAGAAUCGCCGUGAAGUUAUGGCUCAGAGGCACAAAG